UACGUAGGUGGCAAGCGUUGUUCGGAAUUAUUGGGCGUAAAGGGCGCGUAGGCGGUUUGCUAAGUCAGUUGUGAAAGCCCGGGGCUCAACCCCGGAGGGUCGGCUGAUACUGGUGGACUAGAGUACGGAAGAGGUAGCUGGAAUUCCCGGUGUAGCGGUGAAAUGCGUAGAUAUGACACAGAACGCCGAUUGCGAAGGCAGCUAGCUAGACCGACAUUGACGCUGAGGCACGAAAGCGUGGGGAUCAAACAGG
rnacentral:rRNA from 1 species